AUUGAACGCUGGCGGCAUGCUUUACACAUGCAAGUCGGACGGCAGCACAGAGAAGCUUGCUUCUUGGGUGGCGAGUGGCGAACGGGUGAGUAACAUAUCGGAACGUACCGAGCAGUGGGGGAUAACUAAUCGAAAGAUUAGCUAAUACCGCAUAUUUUCUGAGGAAGAAAGCAGGGGACCAUUUGGCCUUGCGCUGUUUGAGCGGCCGAUAUCUGAUUAGCUAGUUGGUGGGGUAAAGGCCUACCAAGGCGACGAUCAGUAGCGGGUCUGAGAGGAUGAUCCGCCACACUGGGACUGAGACACGGCCCAGACUCCUACGGGAGGCAGCAGUGGGGAAUUUUGGACAAUGGGCGCAAGCCUGAUCCAGCCAUGCCGCGUGUCUGAAGAAGGCCUUCGGGUUGUAAAGGACUUUUGUCAGGGAAGAAAAGGGCGGGGUUAAUACCCCUGUCUGAUGACGUACCUGAAGAAUAAGCACCGC
rnacentral:rRNA from 1 species